rnacentral:rRNA from 1 species
GACGAACGCUGGCGGCGUGCCUAACACAUGCAAGUCGAGCGGUCCGGCACUCAACUCAGUGCUCAUUUUGGGAUUAAGAGGGAGUUACUGACCCGGGAGGGGAAGUAACGGAUAAGAGUGGAGUGGGCAGCGAGUUGAGUGCCGGAUAGCGGCGGACGGGUGAGUAACGCGUGGGUGAUCUACCCAUAAGAGGGGGAUAACACCGGGAAACUGGUGCUAAUACCGCAUAAGCUAUUCGGUAUGCAUGUACUGGAUAGUAAAGGUGGCCUCUGGAGCAAGCUACCGCUUAUGGAUGAGCCCGCGUCUGAUUAGCUAGUUGGUGGGGUAACGGCCUACCAAGGCGACGAUCAGUAGCUGGUCUGAGAGGAUGAUCAGCCACACUGGGACUGAGACACGGCCCAGACUCCUACGGGAGGCAGCAGUGGGGAAUAUUGGACAAUGGGCGCAAGCCUGAUCCAGCCAUGCCGCGUGAGUGAUGAC